UCACAACAACCACAGGCUGGAGUGUUCUUUGGCCAAACCUCAUUACUGGAAAAGAGAUGAAAUGGCAACACUGUCCCAAACUUUUCCAUGUACAUGAGAAAGGAAACAAUGAUUUAAGGAAAGAGGAGUCGGAAGCAUGAAAAAGGAGAAGAAAACAAGAGAAAUGGCUGUGACCUUGGACACAUUGCUCCUGGGGAUGGGAAAGAGGAAGGAGGAAGCAGCCCAAGGACAGAAACUGCUGGAUUCUAACACUGCCUCCCUCCAUACUGAAGAUGAGAGAGGAGAAGAUUCAGAUGAGAGCAACCCAAGGCCACAAUGUUUGUACAGAGGGGACAAGUUUGGACAGUGUUUACAGGAAUCAUCUCCACACACCCAUCUAUAUAUUCUCAAAUUCUCAAAAUUGUGAUAUCAGAAAUACCUGAAUUUCUGCCCUGUAGAUGUUUUAGCAACAGUAGAAGUUAUAAGACUUCCUGAUCUUACAUCUCAUUAUUUAUUCAAGAAUAAAUCUGAAAAAUGCCAUUGAAUACAGGUGAAAUCUUGGGGAGUUGUUACACUACCUGCAAGUCUCACCCACAGACUCUACAAGCAAAUUUUAGGCUCCCUUUGGAUUUAAAAUAACCUCCAAUUUUCUGAAUAGUAUCCAAAAUUAGAUUAUAUAUUUCUGGUAGAAGUUACUCUGGGUUUGACAUCAUUAGCAAAGAAACGUCCAUGCCAAGCAGUUCUGAGGAUAUGAAUUAAUAAGCUAACCUUCCAACACAUGGCUGAAAUACUGUUUAAUCUUAUUUUCAAGAGGAGAUCCUUUUUCCAGCCAGAAUCUGAGAAGACACAAGAAGAAAUGGGGCAAAGAAGCGUCUGGACCAACCCCAAUGGGCAGAACAUGGGAAAAUUACCUAACCAACUGCUCUUCUAAUUAGAGAAUAUUUGUUAAAUAUUCUAAUUUGUUAAACUUAUAAAACCUGUAGAAAUCCAAUGCUGGUGUGCCCAUAACCAUGGGGGCACCUGGAAGCUUCCAUUAAAAGAAGCUUUUAUCUUACAAUUUUAUCUUACAAUUUUAACACUGUUUUUAUUUAUCUUGCUUUUAUCUUCCAAUUUCAACACUGUUGUAAGUUUUUGGGUUUGAUUUCAGGCAAGAAUAG